GGAGAUUGCACUUGUAUAGACUGGAAGUCUUUACCUUAGCCUCAUGCUAACACAGAAACAAAAGACUUUCUGGAGAAAAAAUCUGACUAAAUAAAACAGAAUUCGCACGGCUGCUGGCACACAAGAAACAAAGGACCCUUGACAUAACUUCCUCACGGAGGCACGAGCAAAGAGGGGGAGGAGUUGCGCCUAAAAAAACAAACCCAACCUGUCGUUCUCAGCCCUGCCAACCUGUCAGUCCAGCCAUGCAAGAGAGGGAGAGAGAGAAAAAGAAAGGAGGGAGUGAAGCAGAGAUUCAGAUCUCAGCAGAUAUUAAGAUUCCCAAUGAACAAAGAAAACAAAUAGCCCCUGGGACCACAAGUGUGUUCUGUAA
rnacentral:lncRNA from 1 species